UACGGGGGGGGCAAGCGUUGUUCGGAAUUACUGGGCGUAAAGGGCUCGUAGGUGGCCAACUAAGUCAGACGUGAAAUCCCUCGGCUUAACCGGGGAACUGCGUCUGAUACUGGAUGGCUUGAGUUUGGGAGAGGGAUGCGGAAUUCCAGGUGUAGCGGUGAAAUGCGUAGAUAUCUGGAGGAACACCGGUGGCGAAGGCGACAUCCUGGACCGGUAUUGACGCUGAGGCGCGAAAGCCAGGGGAGCAAAGCGGG
rnacentral:rRNA from 1 species